rnacentral:rRNA from 1 species
UUACACAAAUAUGAAGGCGGGCUGGAACCUCUCGGGGUUACAGCCUUGCUGAAUUAUUCACCCUUGUCUUUUGCGUACUUCUUGUUUCCUUGGUGGGUUCGCCCACCACUAGGACAAACAUAAACCUUUUGUAAUUGCAAUCAGCGUCAGUAACAAAUUAAUAAUUACAACUUUCAACAACGGAUCUCUUGGUUCUGGCAUCGAUGAAGAACGCAGCGAAAUGCGAUAAGUAGUGUGAAUUGCAGAAUUCAGUGAAUCAUCGAAUCUUUGAACGCACAUUGCGCCCUUUGGUAUUCCAAAGGGCAUGCCUGUUCGAGCGUCAUUUGUACCCUCAAGCUUUGCUUGGUGUUGGGCGUCUUGUCUCUAGCUUUGCUGGAGACUCGCCUUAAAGUAAUUGGCAGCCGGCCUACUGGUUUCGGAGCGCAGCACAAGUCGCACUCUCUAUCAGCAAAGGUCUAGCAUCCAUUAAGCCUUUUUUCAACUUUUGACCUCGGAUCAGGUAGGGAUACCCGCUGAACUUAAGCAUAUCAU